rnacentral:tRNA from 1 species
CGGGCAGUAGCUCACCGAUACAGCUUUUGCCCCAUGUGCGGAAAGGCCCGGGUUCGACUCCCGGCUGCUUUG